GUGUUCGUUUUGGCAGCACAUCUACUAAAAUGGGAACGAUACAGAGGAGAUUGAUAUGUCCCCUGCGCAAGGGUGACAUGCAAAUUCAUGAAGCAUUUCAUAUUUUU